rnacentral:rRNA from 1 species
AUGGAAGGCGGCGGAGGAGAAGAAGCCGGCGAUGGCCAGCAAGUCAAGGCCGUCGCGACGGCCGGCGGCGGAACACGCGGCCUCGGCGGAUCUGGAUCUGGAGGCCCUCGCCGUGCUCUGGCAGCCAGGUUUCGUCCUCGUCCGCCCUCAAAGACCAAUCGGGUUCGGCGGAGCGGCGUCGGAGCAAAAAUUUCCAGGUACCUAGAGCUGGUAGAUGGAGCAGGGGUUGGCGGUGAAGCCGGUGUCGGGCAUGUAGGCAUUGUACCCUGCGGUGGAGCGGCUCAUGGAGCUGGGCAGGACGGCCCGGCGGCAAGUGCUGGGCAAAACGGCGCACCGGCAGGUGACGGGCAAGCUAGUCUUGGGGCUGACCAGGACGCCGUGGAGAAGACAAGCAAUUCUACUACUCCGUGA